ACUCCUACGGGAGGCAGCAGUAGGGAAUAUUGGACAAUGGGCGAAAGCCUGAUCCAGCAAUGCCGCGUGAGUGAUGAAGGCCUUAGGUUGUAAAGCUCUUUUACCCGAGAUGAUAAUGACAGUAUCGGGAGAAUAAGCUCCGGCUAACUCCGUGCCAGCAGCCGCGGUAAUACGGAGGGGAGCUAGCGUUGUUCGGAAUUACUGGGCGUAAAGCGCACGUAGGCGGCGAUUUAAGUCAGAGGUGAAAGCCCGGGGCUCAACCCCGGAACUGCCUUUGAGACUGGAUUGCUAGAAUCUUGGAGAGGCGAGUGGAAUUCCGAGUGUAGAGGUGAAAUUCGUAGAUAUUCGGAAGAACACCAGUGGCGAAGGCGGCUCGCUGGACAAGUAUUGACGCUGAGGUGCGAAAGCGUGGGGGAGCAAACAGGAUUAGAUACCCCUGGUAGGAUAGCG
rnacentral:rRNA from 1 species